rnacentral:rRNA from 1 species
CCUACGGGGCGCAGCAGUGGGGAAUAUUGGGCAAUGGAGGAAACUCUGACCCAGCAAUGCCGCGUGAAUGAAGAAGGUCUUCGGAUUGUAAAGUUCUUUAGUCAGGGAAGAAUAAAUGACGGUACCAAAGGAAUAAGCCCCGGCUAACUACGUGCCAGCAGCCGCGGUAAUACGUAGGGGGCAAGCGUUGUUCGGAAUGACUGGGCGUAAAGGGUGUGUAGGUGGUUUGAUAAGUUAGAUGUGUAAUACCCAGGGCUUAACUCGGGUGCUGCAUCUAAAACUGUUAGACUUGAGUACUGGAGAGGAUAGUGGAAUUCCUAGUGUAGCGGUGGAAUGCGUAGAUAUUAGGAGGAACAUCAGGGGCGAAGGCGACUAUCUGGACAGCAACUGACACUGAGGCACGAAAGCGUGGGGAGCAAACAGGAUUAGAUACCCCUGUAGUC